UACUGUUACAAUUUGUUUAGAAUUUGUCUAGCCAAUUUCCUGAUUUUCACCAGAAAUCCAC
rnacentral:snRNA from 10 species